CCUACGGGUGACAGCAGUGAGGAAUCUUCCGCAAUGGGCGAAAGCCUGACGGAGCAACGCCGCGUGAACGAAUGAUGGCCUUCGGGUUGUAAAGAUCUGUUGACAAGGACUAAUAAGCAAUGCGAAUGGUUUUGUGUAUGACGUUACCUGUUUAGAACGCUCCGGCUAACUCCGAGCCAGCAUCCUCAGUAAUACGGAGUGAGCAAACUUUGUCCGGAUUUACUGGGCGUAAAGGGCGCGUAGGUGGGUGCUUAAGUCAGUUGUGAAAACUCCGGGAUCAACCUGGAGAUUGCAAUUGAAACUGGGUGUCUUGAGUGCAGGAGAGGAAAGUGGAAUUCCUAGUGUAGCGGUGAAAUGCGUAGAUAUUAGGAGGAACACCAGUGGCGAAGGCGACUUUCUGGACUGUACCUGACGUUGAGGCGCGAAAGCGUGGGUAGCGAACGGGAUGAGAUACCCGGGUAGUC
rnacentral:rRNA from 1 species